AGGCUCCACUUAGCAAAAAUAUUGGGUUACUUUCGAUUAGCAAUAAGGGUUGUUUUACUUACGCGAUAGCAAAAUUGUUAUUUUGCUUGAUUUUGGUAAAAACGCAGCCUAGUUAGCCGCUUCGUUCGAAAAGCAGCCGCCGUUUUCGAGAAAAAAAAGUUCGACGCGAAUCAGUGCGGUUGAGUAAAUUAGAUGCUGGCGGAACCUGUGGAGACUGGGCUGACAAUAACGACGGAAUGGAAGCCCGGUCAACAUUGCUGCAUGUGAUGGACAAUUGGAUGCGGAAAUGGUGGAUAAAUUCACAUCGGGAGCGGACAGGUUGCUGCUGCCGGCGAUAACAGACAGCAUUGCCAUCAGGAUGAUCGACAAGAAGGAAGCCAAUCUGGACGCAUCGGUUUUCCGCUUGGCGGAUGGUCAGCUACCACGGCCAAGUGCGGUUUUGUUUUUUAGUAAAGAAAGUGUUAAUUGAAAUUAAAAAAAAGGUGUCAAAUAAAUUAAGUGAAAAAGUA